UACGUAGGUGGCGAGCGUUGUCCGGAUUUACUGGGCGUAAAGGGCUUGUAGGCGGUCCGUUAAGUCCGAUGUGAAAUCUCCCGGCUCAACUGGGAGAGGUCAUUGGAUACUGGCGGACUAAAGGGGGGGUAGAGGAAAGCAGAAUUCCUGGUGUAGCGGUGAAAUGCGUAGAUAUCAGGAGGAAUACCAGUGGCGAAGGCGGCUUUCUGGGCCUACCCUGACGCUGAGGAGCGAAAGCGUGGGGAGCAAACCGG
rnacentral:rRNA from 1 species